UCAGAUAGAGGUUAAAAUGGGUAAUAAUUGGAACGAUACAGAGAAGAUUAGCAUGACCCCUGCAAAAGGAUGACACACACAAAUCAAGAAAUGGUCCAAAUUUUU